GCAGAACGCGAAGAACCUUACCAAGACUUGACAUGCCCUCUAUGGAUUCCCGAAAAGGAAUCCUUCACUUCGGGUGGGAGGUGCACAGGUGCUGCAUGGCUGUCGUCAGCUCGUGUCGUGAGAUGUUGGGUUAAGUCCCGCAACGAGCGCAACCCUCAUUCUCUGUUGCUAACAGGUUAAGCUGAGCACUCUGAGAAAACUACCGGUGAUAAGCCGGAGGAAGGUGGGGAUGACGUCAAGUCCUCAUGGCCCUUACGUCUUGGGCUACACACGUGUUACAAUGGCGGUGACAAUGGGCUGCAAACUCGCGAGAGUAAGCUAAUCCCUAAAAGCCGCCUCAGUUCGGAUCGUACUCUGCAACUCGAGUACGUGAAGUUGGAAUCGCUAGUAAUCGUAGAUCAGAAAGCUACGGUGAAUACGUUCCCGGGUCUUGUACACACCG
rnacentral:rRNA from 1 species